rnacentral:rRNA from 1 species
AUUGAACGCUGGCGGCAUGCUUUACACAUGCAAGUCGAACGGCAGCGCGGGCUUCGGCCUGGCGGCGGGUGGCGAACGGGUGAGUAAUGCAUCGGAACGUGCCCAGUAGUGGGGGAUAGCCCGGCGAAAGCCGGAUUAAUACCGCAUACGACCUGAGGGUGAAAGCGGGGGACCGAAAGGCCUCGCGCUAUUGGAGCGGCCGAUGUCGGAUUAGCUAGUUGGUGGGGUAAAGGCUUACCAAGGCGACGAUCCGUAGCUGGUCUGAGAGGACGACCAGCCACACUGGGACUGAGACACGGCCCAGACUCCUACGGGAGGCAGCAGUGGGGAAUUUUGGACAAAGGGGGCAACCCUGAUCCAGCCAUGCCGCGUGCGGGAAGAAGGCCUUCGGGUUGUAAACCGCUUUUGUUCGGGAAGAAAUCCUCUGGGCUAAUACCCCGGGGGGAUGACGGUACCGGAAGAAUAAGCACCGGCUAACUACGUG